ACCUCAUGAUGUGGGCAUUGCAUUAUCUUAUUAUUGAAUUAUUGCCAAGCCUCAUAUAUUGGUUCACCAGCAAGUAUGCAAAAAUUAAUGAUUUCAUCCCUUAGUU
rnacentral:snoRNA from 1 species